rnacentral:rRNA from 1 species
GGAAAAUAACCAUGGAUUCCCCUAGUAACGGCGAGUGAAGAGGGAAAAGCUCAAAGUUGGAACCUGGCUGCCCUAGGCAGUCCGGAUUGUAAACUAAAGAGCGUGAUUCCAGGCAAGCCGGUUGACCAAGUCCUUUGGAAUGAGGCGCCACUGAGGGUGAGAGCCCCGUAAGUCGACUGAGCAUUUGUCUUUUGUGCUUCGCGUUCAAAGAGUCAGGUUGUUUGGGAAUGCAGCCUAAAGCUGGUGGUAAAUCCCACCUAAAGCUAAAUACAGGCGAGAGACCGAUAGCGAACAAGUACCGUGAGGGAAAGAUGAAAAGAACUUUGAAAAGAGAGUUAAACAGUAUGUGAAAUUGCCAAGAGGGAAGCAUUUGGAGUUAGAUUGACUAGGAGUUAAUCAGCUUGGUCUUUGGACUGGGUGUACUUGACUUCUUACAGUCUGCCAAUAGCAGUUAGUCCUAGUGGAAAAAACCAGAGGGAAGGUAGUCCUUCGGGAUGUUUAUAGACCUUUGGAAAAUACACUGGGAUUGACUGAGGAAUGCAGUAGAUGCCACUAAGGCUUCGUCUAGUGGGUGCUAGGCAAAGGUACUUGGUAUUUUCAGCUUGCUGAUGUGCUAGGUUACUCGAGUCUAGUCGCCUACUAGAACUGUAAUCUACUUU